CAAGCGAACAAUCGAGAUCCUAUCAGUGAGCUCGAUGUCAGCACCUAUCCGCCCUUCUCUCGAUGGAUUCUCGACGAACCAUUUCUAGAUCGGUUCAAGAUGCCGUAGGUGGAACCAUACGAUAGCUCUACCGAUUUGCUCGACCAUCUUGAGAGCUACAAAGCUCUAAUGCUUCUUCAGGGGACAUCCGAUGUCCUCCUCUGCAUCGCCUUUUUGGUCACCCUC
rnacentral:lncRNA from 1 species